rnacentral:rRNA from 1 species
AGCAGCCGCGGUAAUUCCAGCUCCAAUAGCGUAUAUUAAAGUUGUUGCAGUUAAAAAGCUCGUAGUUGAAUUUCGGGGUUAGUAGGCUGGUCGUGCCACUGGUAUGUACUGGUCUCACUGAUUCCUCCUUCCUGAUGAGCUGUAAUGCCAUUAAUUUGGUGUUGCAGGGAAUCUGGACUGUUACUUUGAAAAAAUUAGAGUGUUUAAAGCAGGCUAACGCUUGAAUACAUUAGCAUGGAAUAAUGAAAUAGGACGUUCGAUCCUAUUUUGUUGGUUUCUAGGAUUGACGUAAUGAUUAAUAGGGAUAGUUGGGGGCAUUAGUAUUCAAUUGUCAGAGGUGAAAUUCUUGGAUUUAUUGAAGACUAACUACUGCGAAAGCAUUUGCCAAGGAUGUUUUCAUUAAUCAAGAACGAAAGUUAGGGGAUCGAAGACGAUCAGAUACCGUCGUAGUCUUAACCAUAAACUAUGCCGACUAGGGAUCGGAUGAUGUUAAUUUUUAAUGACUCAGUUUG